rnacentral:rRNA from 1 species
UUUGCACAAUGGCCCGAANGCCUGGNGCAGCAACGCCGCCUGCGCGAUGAAGGCCUUCGGGUCGUAAAGCGCUUUUCGGGGAGAUGAGGAAGGACAGUAUCCCCGGAAUAAGGUUCGGCUAACUACGUGCCAGCAGCCGCGGUAAAACGUAGGAACCGAGCGUUAUCCGAAUUUACUGGGCGUAAAGCGUGUGUAGGCGGUUCGGUAAGUUGGAUGUGAAAUCUCCUGGCUCAACUGGGAGAGGUCGUUCAAUACUGUCGAACUUGAGGGUGGUAGAGGGAGGUGGAAUUCCAGGUGUAGCAGUGAAAUGCGUAGAGAUCUGGAGGAACACCGAUGGCGAAGGCAGCCCCCUGGGCUAACACUGACGCUCAUGCACGAAAGCGUGGGGAGCAAACAGGAUUANAUACCCUGGUAGUCCACGCCCUAAACGAUGUCAACUGGUUGNCGGGGAAGCAAUUCCUUGGUAACGAAGCUAACGCGUGAAGUUGACCGCCUGGGGAGUACGGCCGCNAGGNUAAAACUCAAAAANAUUGACGGA